rnacentral:rRNA from 1 species
CCUACGGGAGGCAGCAGUGGGGAAUAUUGGACAAUGGGCGAAAGCCUGAUCCAGCCAUGCCGCGUGUGUGAUGAAGGCCUUAGGGUUGUAAAGCACUUUUGUCCGGGAAGAUAAUGACUGUACCGGAAGAAUAAGCCCCGGCUAACUUCGUGCCAGCAGCCGCGGUAAUACGAAGGGGGCUAGCGUUGCUCGGAACCACUGGGCGUAAAGGGCGCGUAGGCGGACUCUUAAGUCGGGGGUGAAAGCCCAGGGCUCAACCCUGGAAUUGCCUUCGAUACUGAGAGUCUUGAGUUCGGAAGAGGUUGGUGGAACUGCGAGUGUAGAGGUGAAAUUCGUAGAUAUUCGCAAGAACACCAGUGGCGAAGGCGGCCAACUGGUCCGAUACUGACGCUGAGGCGCGAAAGCGUGGGGAGCAAACAGGAUUAGAUACCCUGGUAGUCCACGCCGUAAACGAUGAUGCAGCGUGGGUGNNNGCACNCAGUGCGCAGCUACGUACUUACGUCAUCCGUCCGUGGGUGGUACGGUCGCGAGAUAAACUACAAGAAGUAGACGCGNGAGACGNGCGACGCGACGACGAGGAGAGG